UGCGGAAGGAUCAUUAUUGAAUAAACCUGAUGGGUUGCCGCUGGUUCUCUAGGGAGCAUGUGCACACUUGUCAUCUUUAUAUCUUCACCCGGUGCACCUUUUGUAGACCUGGAUAUUUUUCUGAAUGCCCCUUGGCAUUCAGGUUUGAGGAACUGACUUCUGUCUUUCCUUACAUUUCCAGGUCUAUGUUUCUUCAUAUACACCCAAUCUAUGUUAUAGAAUGUAAUGAAUGAGCGUUUGUGCCUAUAAACUUAUACAACUUUCAGCAACGGAUCUCUUGGCUCUCGCAUCGAUGAAGAACGCAGCGAAAUGCGAUAAGUAAUGUGAAUUGCAGAAUUCAGUGAAUCAUCGAAUCUUUGAACGCACCUUGCGCUCCUUGGUAUUCCGAGGAGCAUGCCUGUUUGAGUGUCAUUAAUAUAUCAAUCUCUUCAGCUUUUGCUUGUUGAGUGUUGGAUGUGGGGGUAUAUUUGUUGGCCUUUUUUUAUUCUGAGGUCAGCUCCCCUGAAAUGUAUUAGCAGAACAAUUUGUUGACCGUUCAUUGGUGUGAUAAAACUAUCUACGCUAUUAACGUGAAGCAGGGUUCAGCUUCUAACAGUCCAUUGACUUGGACAACUCUUCAUUAAUGUGACCUC
rnacentral:rRNA from 1 species